CUCCUACGGGAGGCAGCAGUAGGGAAUCUUCCGCAAUGGGCGCAAGCCUGACGGAGCAACGCCGCGUGAGUGAGGAAGGCCUUCGGGUUGUAAAACUCAGUCACCUGGGAAGAGAGGUAUGGGGAGUGGAAUGCCCCAUACGAGACGGUACCAGGGGAGGAAGCCCCGGCUAACUACGUGCCAGCAGCCGCGGUAAUACGUAGGGGGCAAGCGUUGUCCGGAAUCACUGGGCGUAAAGCGUGCGUAGGCGGUCUUUCAAGUCCGGGGUGAAAACUCAAGGCUCAACCUUGAGAAUGCCUUGGAAACUGGGGGACUUGAGUACUGGAGAGGCAAGGGGAAUUCCACGUGUAGCGGUGAAAUGCGUAGAGAUGUGGAGGAAUACCAGUGGCGAAGGCGCCUUGCUGGACAGUGACUGACGCUGAGGCACGAAAGCGUGGGGAGCAAACAGGAUUAGAUACCCUGGUAGUCCACGCUGUAAACGAUGAGUGCUAGGUGUUGGGGGUUCAUCCCCUCAGUGCCGAAGGAAACCCAAUAAGCACUCCGCCUGGGGAGUACGGUCGCAAGACUGAAACUCAAAGGAAUUGACGGGGGCCCGCACAAGCAGUGGAGCAUGUGGUUUAAUUCGAAGCAACGCGAAGAACCUUACCAGGGCUUGACAUCCCUCUGACCGGUUCAGAGAUGGGCCUUCCCUUCGGGGCAGAGGAGACAGGUGGUGCAUGGUUGUCGUCAGCUCGUGUCGUGAGAUGUUGGGUUAAGUCCCGCAACGAGCGCAACCCUUGACCUGUGUUACCAGCACGUAAUGGUGGGGACUCACAGGUGACUGCCGGCGUAAGUCGGAGGAAGGUGGGGAUGACGUCAAAUCAUCACGCCCUUUAUGUCCUGGGCCACACACGUGCUACAAUGGGCGGUACAACGGGAAGCGAGACCGCGAGGUGGAGCGAAACCCAAAAAGCCGUUCGUAGUUCGGAUUGCAGGCUGCAACCCGCCUGCAUGAAGCCGGAAUUGCUAGUAAUCGCGGAUCAGCAUGCCGCGGUGAAUCCGUUCCCGGGCCUUGCACACACCGCCCGU
rnacentral:rRNA from 1 species